rnacentral:rRNA from 1 species
GAUGAACGCUGGCGGCGUGCCUAAUACAUGCAAGUCGAGCGAACGGACGAGAAGCUUGCUUCUCUGAUGUUAGCGGCGGACGGGUGAGUAAUACGUGGAUAACCUACCUAUAAGACUGGGAUAACUUCGGGAAACCGGAGCUAAUACCGGAUAAUAUUUUGAACCGCAUGGUUCAACAGUGAAAGACGGUCUUGCUGUCACUUAUUGAUGUAUCCGCGCUGCAUUAGCUAGUUGGUAAGGUAACGGCUUACCAAGGCAACGAUGCAUAGCCGACCUGAGAGGGUGAUCGGCCACACUGGAACUGAGACACGGUCCAGACUCCUACGGGAGGCAGCAGUAGGGAAUAUUCCGCAAUGGGCGAAAGCCUGACGGAGCAACGCCGCGUGAGUGAUGAAGGUCUUCGGAUCGUAAAACUCUGUUAUUAGGGAAGAACAUAUGUGUAAGUAACUGUGCACAUCUUGACGGUACCUAAUCAGAAAGCCACGGCUAACUACGUG